rnacentral:rRNA from 1 species
GCAGAGCAUCCUACGGGAGGCAGCAGUGGGGAAUAUUGCACAAUGGGCGCAAGCCUGAUGCAGCCAUGCCGCGUGUAUGAAGAAGGCCUUCGGGUUGUAAAGUACUUUCAGCAGUGAGGAAGGUGGAUAUGUUAAUAGCAUAUUCAUUUGACGUUAGCUGCAGAAGAAGCACCGGCUAACUCCGUGCCAGCAGCCGCGGUAAUACGGAGGGUGCGAGCGUUAAUCGGAAUUACUGGGCGUAAAGCGCAUGCAGGUGGUUUGUUAAGUCAGAUGUGAAAGCCCGGGGCUCAACCUCGGAAUUGCAUUUGAAACUGGCAAACUAGAGUACUGUAGAGGGGGUAGAAUUUCAGGUGUAGCGGUGAAAAUGCGUAGAGAUCUGAAGGAAUACCGGUGGCGAAGGCGGCCCCCUGGACAGAUACUGACACUCAGAUGCGAAAGCGUGGGGAGCAAACAGGAUUAGAUCCCCUGGUAG